UGAGGAAUAUUGGUCAAUGGGCGCAAGCCUGAACCAGCCAUCCCGCGUGCAGGAUGACGGCCCUAUGGGUUGUAAACUGCUUUUGUACAGGAAGAAAAAUCCCUACGAGUAGGGGCCUGCCGGUACUGUACGAAUAAGCAUCGGCUAACUCCGUGCCAGCAGCCGCGGUAAUACGGAGGAUGCAAGCGUUAUCCGGAUUUACUGGGCGUAAAGCGCACGCAGGCGGCUCUGUUAGUCGGACGUGAAAGCUCUCGGCUUAACCGGGAGAGGCCGUUCGAUACUGCGGGGCUUGAGGUAGGGAGAGGAGUGCGGAAUUCCAGGUGUAGUGGUGGAAUGCGUAGAUAUCGGGAGGAACACCUGUGGCGAAAGCGGCAUUCUGGCCCUCACCUGACGCUGAGGCACGAAAGCGUGGGGAUCAAACA
rnacentral:rRNA from 1 species